rnacentral:rRNA from 2 species
GGAUGCGAUCAUACCAGCACUAAAGCACCGGAUCCCAUCAGAACUCCGAAGUUAAGCGUGCUUGGGCGAGAGUAGAACUAGGAUGGGUGACCUCCUGGGAAGUCCUUGUGUUGCAUUCC